CGGUGAGGUACAGCUUCAGGUAAGUAAAAUGGUACAAUGGGGGUCCCAUUUCACUGUGUCCCAGCACAUGGGAUGCAGACUGUGCAAACUUCACCUCCCCCGAGGGCUCUUUAACAGCAUUCUCUGUAGGAGCCAAGCUGCGAUCAUACCCAGUUGUGCUUUCAUAUAUAUUCGCAAAACCAUGAUUCACACAGAAUAUAAUAAUAAUAAUUUAGAUUUAUAAUACAAAAUAUUAUAAUAGCUGCUACAUCAUUGUGUCACUUCUUCCAGCCCCCCACACAAUGUAAAAUUCUUUAUUGGAAAGGUAAUCAAGAUUAGCGAUCAACCAUCAAGUGAAGGUCCUACCCGAGAAGCGUGCUACCGGAAUCCACCACCUGAAUCCACUCCAGAGCUACAAGUAGGCUCUGUUACAUUUGCAUUUGAUAUUUGUGGAUGUAAUAUUUUUUCUGUAUUUCUAUAGUUACACAGACCCUGUUCUAGAUGGCCUCAUUGGACCCAUGCCGCACCUAAAAGAGGGCAGUGCUUUUAUAGUAUUUGUCCUUAAGUCCCGUAAAUGAAUUAUUCCUUAAAACCCAUAUAAUUAAAAUUACUGCCCCUCGUGAUCACUCUGCCUCUAGUGUAAUCAGUGUCUAGGGGCCUGUUUACACCGCAGGGGAGUGUAUGGACAGUAACUGCUGGCUUCCAUGCACACAGUGACUACAAUGGGGUGAUAAUUUAUAUAGCCCUGCUAAAGAACUGCUCUUAAAAUAAACCGCAGGUUUUGGGAUAUAAGGAAUUACCUGUUAAAUUUACAAUAAUUCUACUCCCCACUUGCUGAUGACUCUACUGAAGUGACAAAAUGCAGGAUACAAAAUUAAUUUUGCAGCAUUGUCAUCUGAUAUUUAUUUACAAAUUAAUAUUUGUUUAUUUCGCAUCUGAAUAUCUAACACAAGCGUGGAACGCUUGGAGUAAUUUUUAUAGAAAAAAGAAAUUCAAUUGCUUCAAUCUCAUACAGCAGCUACGUUACGUUAUUAGUUUCCUUUUACCAAAAAGAAGAUUUUAAAAAAUAUAUAAUUGGAUGACAUCUCUGUGACUCAUGGGAGUAACUGAUGUGUGUAUUUCUGAAGUUGUCCUGGUAUCUCUCCCUCCCUUAUAACCGUCAGAAUUUCAGCUUUUUACAGAGGUCUGGCCUUUUGACAGUACACAAGAAACAGGAAUGGGAAUUCAAGAAUGUAAUUUGUCACUUAAACACAUACUGGUCACUUUGAUAAUCCCUCGACAUUUUACAGAAAAAAUAGGUGCGUUUUUUAAUCCUUACAGGUUUGGAAUGGAACUGUGCAAAACAUCUUCAACAUUUCAUUAGAAUCUGCUAUAAAUGAAUAUGCAGUGAAGUUGUACAAGUGGAGUAAUUACCAUGGAAACCAAAGGAAUGUUUUUAAGAACUUUGCCCAUAUUAUAUCUCUUUAUAUAACUGCCUAUAUUUAGUACAUUACAUUGAUGUAGGACAUAUUUGUUAAAGACAAGUUGAAGGCUAUUACUACUCUGUACAGCUAACAAAAAGGAAUUUAGUAAUAAAAUGACAGAAAUGU